rnacentral:rRNA from 1 species
UUAGGGGUUUCUGGUUUUUCAAGAAAUGAAUUUAAUUCAUGCGUCUUAUUUAGAGUUUUAUUAUUUGUUUAUUUAUUUUUAUUUGGCGUUAAGAUUGGGGGGGAUUAGCUUCUUAUUUUAUUUUUAUAAUUUUUUGUUUAUUUAGUCUUGUGGGUUUUAUAGUGAUUUUCAAUUUGAUUAUGUUAAAAUUUUAUUUGUUUUGUUCUUUAUUUUUAUUUAUUUAAUUAUUUAUUGAAAUGUAUUCUUUAUUUUGUUUUGGUUAGUAAUUAUUGUAGAAUUAGUAAAUUUGUUGUUAGGUUGUUUUAUUUGUGUUAAUUUUCUUUGAGGAACUAGGCAAAUUUCAUGCCCGCCUGUUUAACAAAAACAUCUUUUCUCGUUAGUUUUUGAAGUAUGGCCUGCCCACUGACUUUGGUGUUGAAGGGCCGCGGUAUUUUGACCGUGCAAAGGUAGCAUAGUCAUUAGUUCUUUAAUUGUGAUCUGGUAUGAAUGGCUUGACGAGGCAUGGGCUGUCUUAAUUUUGAAUUGUUUAUUGAAUUUGGUCUUUGAGUUAAAAUUCUUAGAUGUUUUUAUGGGACGAGAAGACCCUAUAGAGUUUAACAUUUGUUAUGGUCCAUUUCUGUUUGUGAGGGUUCACUGGGCCGUCUAAUAUGUUUUGUUGGGGUGAUGGGAGGGAUAUAAUUUAA